AAGAACAUUUCAAGCUUCAUUCCCAACACAUCCAACACCAUCUGAUUGCUCAAAGCAAAUCAUGGGGCCAAGUCCAAGGGUCAAGGAGAAAGGAAGUACACUCCACCAUAACUCCAUAAGGAAGGUGUGGAUAUAUAAUUAGUUGUGGUGAGAUAAAGACUUAGGACCAAUAAUUCAAUCUUCAACAAAGGCUUUUAGUGGCUUUCCAUUAAACUUAGAAUAAGGUCUAAACUUCAACCCCCUCAGGCUCUAGCCCCAGGCUAGCCCCUCUAAACUUCAACUUCUGCCACUUUUUCCCUCACCCAUUUCUAGCCAUGCUGCCUUUGUGGCUGUUCCUCGAACUUUCCAAACUCUUUUUCUACCUCAGGACCUUUACAUUUGCCAUUCUCUCUCUGUGUGGAUCACACUGCUCCUAGAGCUUCACAUGACUGGCUCCUUCCCGCCACCAGGUCUGAGAUGCAAUGCUACCUAUACCUGGGGGUGUGUUAGAGAUGCAGGUGCCUGGGCUCCACCCCCAGAGAUUCUGAAAUGGCAGGUAUAGGGGUGUAUCUCAGGGGUCUGUUGCUAACAAGAUACCCACUGUUGAUGCCAGUGCCGGUGUUCCAUGGAACUUUCUGAGAAAGGCUGCUGUGAGAGGGAAGCAUGCCCCAGGGGUACCGGGGAGGAUGUGCAGGGCCUGAGUCUGUUGGGAUUCAAGGAAGUCUUGCAGAAGGCGUAGCAGCUGAGCCGAGGCUUGAGGGAUGUAGAGGAGGUGGUCAGGCCAACAAGACUAUGUUUUAGGGUCAUCCCACAACUCUGUGUGCAUCUUGGGUGUGAGCUUCCAAGUAACUUUUCCUGAACCCCUCACCCCAUCCAGCCCAGGCCCUGCUGGAACAGCCUCCCGUUGGGAACUAGAACUGAUGACAUUAUAUACGACCACCAUCCGAGCUUCUUGAGACAACCAAUCCCACAGGAAGUCUUAGAAAGCUUUUUUUCCCUCUAAAUGAUCUUUUUUAGUGUCUGUCACCCAGAGUUGUAGAGAUUUUAUAUCAUCUAUGAAAUCCUAUUAAGAUUUUAUUUCCUUAUUUUCCUUUUAUGAUGACUGGGAUUUCCUUCCUGAGAGAAGGCUUCAGGAAGUGGCCGUGCCUUGGCAGGAGCCAGGCCCUGGGGAGGGUGUGUUGCUGAUGCAGCCACAGCCUCCGUGGCAGAGUUGCUGACAGGCAUUCAGAGCUGGCAGCAUCCUUCAAGGUCCUGUGGCCCAUUUUCCCCCUGAAGGUAUCCUCUCUAGAGCUUUGAGCAUCCCAUGACCCAAGAGAGGCAGUGAUGGAACUUUGGAGUCAGAUCCAUUGAUGGGCAACCCGCUACUUUGAAAAGUGGAGUGUUGAGAUCCGGUUGGAUCCAGAUGCCAUCAGUGACAGUCUCCUUUUAGAUACAUUCAAUCAGUCGUGGAUCCACCUUGGAGCACUAGCACCAACUCACAGAAGGACAUCUUGAAAGCACCUGUUACAUGGCUGCCUGCUUCAUUCCAGACACAAGAUGCAGAACCCAAAUUUAUCCAGGUUACCAGGUUGGAGUUAAACCUGAGACCACGUUAAUUAACCUCCAUCUGUUUUACUCGCUCUGGCCCUGCCUAGAUGGGCCUCUGAACAGUCCUCCCAGUCUUGUUGGGGAGUCCCUUGUGUGCUUAGGAGUGUCUCCUUCCCCAGAUAAUGGAGUUGGCCAAGUUCUUUCUCUCCAGCUCCUCCUUUCCUGCUGACAUUAGCAGUCCAUGCACCGUGGAGAAGGACCUCACUACUCUGCCUGCUGCUGGGAUGGCCCACAAGAAUGCAAUUCCCAUGUUCAGUGUGCAUUAGCCCAGACAUUGGUACCAGUCCUUGGUAUCCCGUUGAUUAAACUGCAUUUAAUCUGGUGCAGAAGUGAGAAGUGUAGCCUUCCUUUCUUGGGGUCACAUGCUGUCGUGUGGGUCCGUCAGGAGGACGGCUGGAGCACUAGCUCUCAGCAACUCCAGCCUCUUCCUGAAGCUUCUUCUUAGAGGACCAGGGGGCAUGAGGUCUUGGUUCAGGUCCUGGACCUGAAUAAGUCCAUCAUGGCCUCUGUAGCGUAUGUCUUUGCUCCUUUCACUCCGAACUUAAGAGAUGUGACUGAUUCCAAUCUAAAUUGACUUAUACAAAUCACCUCCCAGCCAGUCUACCCAAAAGUUUGCCUUAAGACCCCAAUAUAGUCAGCAGUCUGUCUUAGAAACCCAAGUCCAAAUGAACCCCAGGUAU